rnacentral:rRNA from 1 species
GACGAACCGUGCAAACGUUAUUCGGAAUCACUGGGCUUAAAGGGCGCGUAGGCGGGUCGGCAAGUCAGGGGUGAAAUCCUCCAGCUCAACUGGAGAAGAGCCUUUGAUACUGCCGACCUCGAGGGAGGUAGGGGCGUGCGGAACUUCCGGUGGAGCGGUGAAAUGCGUAGAUAUCGGAAGGAACACCGGUGGCGGAAGCGGCGCGCUGGACCUCUGCUGACGCUGAGGCGCGAAAGCCAGGGGAGCAAACGGG